UACGUAGGGUCCAAGCGUUUAUCCGGAAUCACUGGGCGUAAAGCGUGCGUAGGUGGCGUGUUAAGUGUGAUGUUAAAUCGUGUGGCUCAACCAUAUCGAUGUGUCGCAUACUGGCAUGCUAGAGGGAAGCAGAGGCAAGUGGAAUUUGUAGUGUAGCAGUGAAAUGCGUAGAUAUUACAAGGAACACCAAUGGCGAAGGCAGCUUGCUGGGCUUCUUCUGACACUGAGGUACGAAAGCGUGGGGAGCGAACAGG
rnacentral:rRNA from 1 species